AGCUUCUGUUAGUGAUGUUCGGUGCUUUGAAACUGUGGGUAGUUUUAAAUACAAAAUAGAAGUCAUAUUGAAGAUAUCAAUCUUGGAUAGGGAGCUAAAGUUUGAAAUUGGAACUGUUUGGACAGACGGAGCCACGAGUUCUGGAUACAUGUGCCUGAAGCGAAAAUGGUACGGCAUAAAAUGGCGGGUGAAAGAUCAAUAUGACCUACCAAAAGGUUGUCGGUGAUAGAAAAAAGGUAGAAAAUGUGGAAAAAUAACCCUAAGAAGAAAUACAAUAAGGUAUGUUUUAACUGAACAUGUGUCAUCACAUAUAAAUAAGGCGUUAAUAUUCUGAAGUUAGUUAAAAUCACGGUAAACUCUUUCUCCUCUACUUAAAUUCUAAAGGAUUUAUAAAAUAUAUGACAGGUGUUAUUACGAUGUGCCUUGUAACCAUUAUUGGUUUGGUGGGACGAAAGGAGCUUUAGAGAAAAACAAAAUUAAAUAGAAAUCAUUCAAUUUGGUUUGGACAUUGUAUGUAUGAGAUAAGAUAAUAGGCUCGUAAAAUACAUAACGGAUGAGAAUUUCGAAUCCCGGGUCGGGCAAAGUGAUAUUUAGGUUUUUUCUGCUCAGUAUCAGCCCGGAGUCUGGAAUUUGUGCCCGAUAUGGCGAUAGGCUCGCCCCCUAUCACAUCAUGGGACGGAAAAUACUUACUCUGCAUACCCCUUCGGGGAUAAAUGCGUGAUGUUAUGUAUGUAUGGAUGAGAAUAAACUGUGUCUUGGGGAUACAUCUCUGACCAUUUUGUUGGGAAUGUAUGCAUUACAUUAUAGGUAUAUGAAAUUUCAUUUAAAAUAUUUGAUAACUAGAAAAAUUUUGAUACAAAAUAAAUAUUUUUCAGCGGUUUGUAAACGCCUACGCCGCCAUCACCUCCUACGCUUUAGCGCGUUCCAAAAUGUAUUUUAAUAAAGUUAUUUCGUUCUCAAAAAUAUACCGAGGACUGAUCAUUACUCCAUAACUAAAACCAUAAUGGUACAAAAUAUAAAAUGUUGGAUACGUUGAACCUAACAAAGUUUUAUGUUAAAAUAUAAAUAUUACUGUCCCACUGCUGGGCACGGGCCUCCUCUACGAUUGAGAGGGAUUAAGGUCUUAGUCCACCACGUUAGCCUGGAGCAGUUUUGUAGAUUUCACUCACCCUCAAAAUUCCUAUAGAGAAUUUCUCAGGUAUGCGGGCUUCCUCACGAUGUUUUCCUUCAACGUUAAAGCAAGCUAUAAUUCACAAAAAAAUAUAUAAAUAAGUAUAAAAUAUCUUUCAAUAUUCACAUAUAACAUUAAACCUAAUAGGAAACAAAUAUAAAUUUAAGUCAACGCGUUUCUAUUCGACUACCGAAU